GACGAACGCUGGCGGCGUGCUUAACACAUGCAAGUCGAACGGAAAGGCCCUGCUUUUGUGGGGUGCUCGAGUGGCGAACGGGUGAGUAACACGUGAGUAACCUGCCCUUGACUUUGGGAUAACUUCAGGAAACUGGGGCUAAUACCGGAUAGGAGCUCCUGCUGCAUGGUGGGGGUUGGAAAGUUUCGGCGGUUGGGGAUGGACUCGCGGCUUAUCAGCUUGUUGGUGGGGUAGUGGCUUACCAAGGCUUUGACGGGUAGCCGGCCUGAGAGGGUGACCGGCGACAAUGGGACUGAGAUACGGACCAGAAUCCUACGGGAGGCAGCAGUGGGGAAUAUUGCACAAUGGGCGGAAGCCUGAUGCAGAAACGCCGCGUGCGGGAUGACGGCCUUCGGGUUGUAAACCGCUUUCGAAUGUGACGAAGCGUGAGUGACGGUAAUGGGUAAAGAAGCACCGGCUAACUACGUG
rnacentral:rRNA from 1 species